AACGCGAAGAACCUUACCAAGGCUUGACAUGGAGACGACCGGCGUGGAGACACGCCUUCCCUUCGGGGCGGCUCACACAGGUGGUGCAUGGUUGUCGUCAGCUCGUGUCGUGAGAUGUUGGGUUAAGUCCCGCAACGAGCGCAACCCUUAUCUUUAGUAGCCAGCGGCUCGGCCGGGCACACUAGAGAGACUGCCGUGGAUAACACGGAGGAAGGCGGGGACGACGUCAAAUCAUCAUGCCCCUUAUGUCUUGGGCGACACACGUGCUACAAUGGCGCGCACAAAGUGACGCGAACCGGCGACGGUGAGCAAACCACAAAAAACGCGCCCCAGUUCGGAUUGCAGGCUGCAACCCGCCUGCAUGAAGUUGGAAUCGCUAGUAAUCGCAAAUCAGCAUGUUGCGGUGAAUACGUUCCCGGGUCUUGUACACACCG
rnacentral:rRNA from 1 species